rnacentral:rRNA from 1 species
UACGAAGGGAGCUAGCGUUGUUCGGAAUCACUGGGCGUAAAGCGCACGUAGGCGGAUUUGUCAGUCAGGGGUGAAAUCCCUCAGCUUAACUGGGGAACUGCGUCUGAUACUGGAUGGCUUGAGUUUGGGAGAGGGAUGCGGAAUUCCAGGUGUAGCGGUGAAAUGCGUAGAUAUCUGGAGGAACACCGGUGGCGAAGGCGGCAUCCUGGACCAACACUGACACUGAGGAGCGAAAGCCGGGGGAGCAAACGGG